CUUUCUGCUUUCCUUCUUUCCUCCUUCUUCUUCUUCCUCUUUUUUUUUUUUUUUUUUUUUUUUGUUUGACUACUCCCUACUGAAACUACUACAUGCAAGCAAGCAUGCAUGGAGAAAGAAAAGAACGAAGAGAAAGAAAGGACUCAACUUUGAAGGAUAGGAGAAACUCCAUAAUGAAGACAAAUUCUCAACUCCAUGAGAAAAGAGUAAAACUUUAAUUGAUGUGUUAAGAGAUUUAUUGCAUUUCUUCUUAUUGUCAGAAGAUUCUAAUUUUAAAAUUGACUUCUUUUUCAGGAAACAUGACAGAUGAUAUUUUGUUUACUAUCACAUUAAGAGCAGUGUAUCAAUGUUGUUUAUAUGUGUUCAUUAUGUAAUUUAUAAUGAAGAUAAAUAAAAAAAAGUAAAGGAAGAGAAAAACAACCAGCUUGAUGUUCU
rnacentral:lncRNA from 10 species